UGUUUUGUCAAUGUGGAACCAUUGUCUCGUUGUCCCUCCUACUGCAAUAAUUGCUGUGACACUUGUCUCUAUGUAUGCGUUGGACACGCCUUCCUACUUCCCUUUCGUCCACGAUAACGGGAGAGGUAGGCGUCCACGCGACGACAGAUAAAGUGCAUUUGUCUCGUUAAGAACUUAAGUUCACUUUCUUGUUCUGUAUUAUAUUUGUGUAGGGGCUUGACGAUGGCAGAACAAUUUUGACAUUUGUAUUCUCUGUAUUGUCAGUAAAGUGCAUCUGAGCAACAACCCAUGGUGUCGGUCGUGUUCCAUAAAGUCCACACAACGCAGAGGAAAAGACCACCGGUUACAUAAGUUCCACUUCGCCAAAGGGCUUGCUUGAUUGGAGUUUAAUUUGUUUUUGUUCAACAAUUGACGCAAGCAUGAACACAGAGAAGACAUCCCAAAGAGGACAAAUAGUACACCAGACCUGUCUCUCGGUCAGACUGGACCUGCCUCCUCUCAUCUGCAAAAGCUCGGAGCCAGCGUUGUUUCUGUUCGGCUUUCUUGGCCGUCAGGAGAUGAACCU